AGUGUGCUACAUGAGGGACAAGUUUUUCGCUACCACCACAACUGUCUCUGGCACAGUGAGAGGAGUCUGAUAGUAAUACUUGCUACAAGU
rnacentral:snoRNA from 1 species